rnacentral:rRNA from 1 species
GACGAACGCUGGCGGCGUGCUUAACACAUGCAAGUCGAACGGAGAGCCCCGUCUUAGGGUGUCGGUUGCGAACGGGCGAGUAACACGUGGGCAAGUUGCCCGCGGGUCUGGGAUAACUCCAUGAAGUUUGGGCUAGGGCAGGAGGUUCUCCUCUUCGCGCGGGGGGCGGGGUGGAACGGGUGUCCGGCUGGGGAUGGGUCGGGGGCUGAUCGGCUUGUUGGGGGGGUAGUGGCCUUGGAAGGCGACGGCGGGUAGCCGGCGUGGGAGGGUGACCGGCCACACGGGGCAUGAGACAAGGCGCAGCAUCGUACGGGAGGCAGCAGUGGGGAACAUUGCGCAGUGGGAGGGAGGCUGAGGCGGCGACGCCGCGUGGGGGAUGAUGGCCUUCUGGUUGUAACCAUCUUUCAGCAGGGACGAAGCGGAAGUGACGGUACCUGCAGAAGAAGCACCGGCUAACUACGUG